rnacentral:rRNA from 1 species
UAAUUUGACUCAACGCGGGAAAUCUUACCGGGUCCGGACACACUGAGGAUUGACAGACAGUUUUUAUAUAUCGAAUUGGCGAGUAUAUUACAAAUAUGCUAGCUCUUUCAAGAUUGUGUGAUAGGUGGUGCAUGGCCGUUCUUAGUUCGUGGAGUGAUCUGUCUGCCCAAUCGCGUUUCAAAUUUACGAGUCGAGUUGUUGUGAGUUCUCGCGUUGGCUUUGUAGGUGUACCGCACAUGCAAUUGCCACGCGCGUCUCACUUACAGACUCUCUUGAACGCAACGGACGGGACCGUACCCUCUUGUUGUGUAGAGCAAGUCAAAGCUGCGUUGUCUUUGUAUCUCUUAACGGAAUGCAAGUUCAAUUGCAUUAGCUAGCGACUCCACUACACAUGUUCACGUCGUCUCAUCUUCAAUUCACUUGAGUCGACUGGACAAACUUGAGGGACCGCUGUAACAAUCUUUUAAACCAGAUGAAGGUUGCGGCAAUAACAGGCUGGUGAU